rnacentral:antisense_RNA from 1 species
CGUUAUGGCAGUUUGACAGGACAACCGUAAGGUUGGCUGAGCCUAGAUUCAGUAUUUCCUACUCCUGUUAAGCUGCCACCAUC